AGUCGAACGGACUUAACCUAUUCUUUAAGAUUAGGAGCGGUUAGUGGCGGACUGGUGAGUAAUGUAUAAGUAACCUGCCUAUCAGAGGGGAACAACAGUUGGAAACGACUGCUAAUACCGCAUAUGCCAUAAGAGCCACAUGGUUCAAGUGGGAAAGGAGCAAUCCGCUGAUAGAUGGACUUAUAUCUGAUUAGCUAGUUGGUGUGGUAACGGCAUACCGAGGCGAUGAUCAGUAGCCGAACUGAGAGGUUAAUCGGCCACAUUGGGACUGAGAUACGGCCCAGACUCCUACGGGAGGCAGCAGUCGGGAAUAUUGCGCAAUGGAGGAAACUCUGACGCAGUGACGCCGCGUGCAGGAAGAAGGUUUUCGGAUUGUAAACUGCUUUAGACAGGGAAGAAAAAAGACAGUACCUGUAGAAUAAGCUCCGGCUAACUACGUGCCAGCAGCCGCGGUAAUACGUAGGGAGCAAGCGUUAUCCGGAUUUAUUGGGUGUAAAGGGUGCGUAGACGGGAAAUUAAGUUAGUUGUGAAAUCCCUCGGCUCAACUGAGGAACUGCAACUAAAACUGAUUUUCUUGAGUACUGGAGAGGAAAGUGGAAUUCCUAGUGUAGCGGUGAAAUGCGUAGAUAUUAGGAGGAACACCAGUGGCGAAGGCGACUUUCUGGACAGAAACUGACGUUGAGGCACGAAAGUGUGGGGAGCAAACAGGAUUAGAUACCCUGGUAGUCCACACCGUAAACGAUGGAUACUAGGUGUAGGGUGUGAUAAACGCUCUGUGCCGUCGCAAACGCAGUAAGUAUCCCACC
rnacentral:rRNA from 1 species